AUGGAAUCACAGACCCAAGUCCUCAUGUCCCUGCUGCGCUGGGUAUCUGGUACCGGUGGGGACAUUGGGAAGACCCAGUCUCUAUUCUCCCUGGCUGUGUUAGCAGAAGAGAAGGUCACCAUUAGCUGCAAGUCCAGUCAGAGUUUUUUCUGGAAUGGAGAAGAAAAGAACUACUUGGCCUCGUACCAGCAGAAACCAGGGCAGUCUCCUAAACUGCUGGUCUACUUGGCAUCCACUAGGAAAUCUGGGGUCUCUGAUCGCUUCAUAGGCAGUGGAUCUGGGACAGAAUUCACUCUGACCAUCAGCAGUGUGCAGGCUGACAACACAGCAGUUUAUUACUGUCAGCAGCUUUACAUCUCUUCUCCCACAGUGCCUCAGCUUCCUACACAAACCUCCUUAAGAGUUUCAACAUCUGUGUACACCACACACAGCCCUGGGUAUGUACAUUUCCCUCUUCUGCCUGAGAGCUGGCAUGCCUGA